rnacentral:tRNA from 1 species
AUUUAAAUAGCUUAAAUUUAGAGUAUAACACUGAAGAUGUUAUGGUGAUAUUAAGAUCUUUAAAUA